rnacentral:lncRNA from 1 species
AAAUCAAGUGUGGGAACACUUCCUUCAAACAGACCAAGAUUCUGUCCCUAAUCUUCCAUUUCAGAAAUCUUUUCUAAAUCUUGAAGCAGAGGCAAGAUGAUAUUGGAAGCGGUGUGUAAAAUGAUUUAGAGAAAUAAGUGAUCACCAGCAAAGAGACCCCCUCCAGAGAAUCUUUCUAGCAAGAAGUUGAGAGUCAAUGAAGUCUUGCAUUUAAGAAAGGUCAGUAGAGCUGGGAAGGGGGCAGUGGGGACAUACAUAGAGCAGAUGGAUGACACUAUAGGACAGACUGGGCAGCUAGGACAUGUGUCCUUUGCUCAGGUGGGUUCUGGGACCAUGGAGACUGUGAUGGUGCUUGGAAUGAAAUUAGGUCAUGACACACAAAAAAAGGGAAAAGGAAUAAGAAUCAAGUGCCUUGUUUGAAAAAGACAGCAGAAUUGAAGUCAUUUUAAAAAUAUUCUGUCUCUCAAAGUAUUAAGAAAUUGCUUCUCUUCUUUUUAACAUGCAUCAAAAAAACUGCUUUUGAUAUCUUAGCUGCAAAGAACUGAAGCAAAACAAUAACACAAAGCUAAAUUGAAGCAAGGAGAGACUCUUCUUAUUUUAUCAUCUUGAUCUAUUCCCUAAUGAGAAACCACAGAAAAAGAUUUAAAAGAAAGGUCACCUUUUAUUUAAGAUAAAUAAAUGUAUGCUGAUGGCUGAUGUCCUGAGCUACUUAAUAAAAUGAACUCAAAUCUAGAACCAUCAACACUCAGAAAUAGCUUGUUUCUUAUAAUAACAGAGAACAGGCAACAGAGAGUGGAGAAUACUUAGCUGGGAGUAUCUCCUCUAUCCUAAGUGUUAUUCAUGUAAUUCAAAUGUUUUAAAGAACUUUGACUUGGGUGCAAUUUAAUUGAUUAGGAAAAAAUUUAAGAGCUACUGUUAAACUAAACUAAGUUUAUCUGUAUAGCUUACUAGUGAAGUUCUGAAGACAGUAAUUUCAGGUCUCAGACUCCACAGGAAGUAAACAGUAUAAAUAUAAGAGACAUGUAAGUUAUAAAAUGUGCAGAGAGAUGAUCAUGAGGCAUUUCAAUUCUAAUUUAAAGGCAAAAACCCCCUUUGCAACUAUGUCGAGAAAGGAAAGAAGAAAUAGCUAAGGCUAACUAAGAAUUUUACUAUAUGGCAGACAAUGUAACGUAUUUUAUCUCAUCUAAUCCUCACAACAAUGAUCAGAGAUAUAUAUUCACAGAUGGGGCAACUAAGCCUUAGAGUUUAUAACUUGUCCAUACUAAAAAAUAAUAACUGAUAAAUCAAGAUUUUAAGACAUCCAUCUGAUGUUAAGUGAUGUCAACUCUUCAAAUAGAACCAUCCUACUCUUCUCUCUUCUGUUCAAAACUCUCAAUUUUAGUUGUUCAGAACUCUCCACAAUUUUAGAUGUUACCUUUAUAACUAAUCUUAAUACUCUCAAAACUGUCUUCCAACUAGAUGGAUGUCUUAUGUGCCUUCCUGGAAUGUCCCACCUCUGUUCACUGGACUCCAACUCUGAAGGUUUGGUUUUGUAUAUUCCUCCCUAAAACAUCCUCCCAAGGCACUGCUGCCUUUACUACAUGCUCCCUCCUCGUCAUCCAUGGAUGGCCCUUUUCGCAAGUGACCUCAUUUGUCAAUGACAGUACUUGACCUCUGCUGGGGAACUCACUUUCACUGCUACUUUUUAUUGUCUAAAUCUUGCCAUUGCUGGAGAUGCUAAGCAACAACAAGGUCUUACAUAACUUUUUCCUUCCUACAGAACUCAGUACAGAACCCUGAAAUACUUUCCAUUAUGAGUACAAAUGACAACAAUUACAAUGAUUAAUUUAGGCUUAUAAAAUAUUUUCAUCUCUGUUGUCUCAUCUCUUUUAAUAUAUCACUUUAUUAAAUUACUUAUAAAAUCAUUGGAUAAAUAUUAUUAUAGUUUAAUGUAAGUGUCAUGCCAUAACAUAAUAGAUAUUAUUUCCUUCAUGUACUGUUAAAGACACAAAGAAUCAGAGAGGAUAUAAUAGCAUAAGGUAACACUGUUGUGAAACUGUGCCUGUCUUCACUGCCUCCCUUAGGGCUGACACAUUCAGGAUAUGUUUGAUGAAUGAAUAUAUGAACAAGCUAGAAUUCAGAUCAAGCCUUUUAGCUCCAAAAUUUCUAACACACCAUUUAGAAUGAUUUGACAGUAUAUGCUUAUGUAUAUUUUCCUCAUAAAGUCUUAUUUCAGUGUGGUUUAUAUCACUCUAGCUUUGCAACAUUUCACCAUAAGUUCCAGUGAACACCAAACUCAUUAGCUGAGUCAGACAGGGAAAACAAUAUCUAUCCUCAUUAUAAUAGGACCAAAUUCUCCAUUAAUAAUAAAAAAAAUUAAUGGUGACUUUAAAUAAGCUUGAAAUUUUGCCAGUCUGGGUGAUUCUAAUUACAAAAGAUUUCUUAAUUAUAUUUAAUUUUUUUUCAUAAAGACAUUAUCAUGAUUACUUAGGAUAAAAAAAUCACGGAAAUAUAUCUGCUUUCUUCAAAGUAAAUGAAUGACGUGGUUAGAGCAGGUCAACAACAGUUUCUCUCCAAAGCAAAAAUUGAAUUUCUAAUAGAUUUGGAGGGACAACUGAAUGUGUUUAACUUAUAGAGCAUUAAGGUGCUCUGGGGGAAGCCUGCAUUUCUAAAAGGUAGGUGAGUCAGUACAAGGUAGGAUGAGGUUAGGCAAGAUUUAUUUACAUGGCUUUUGCAAGGCUCAUGAUUAAACUAGGAGGAUAGGGAUAACCACAAUGUACGAUCUUAGAGCAAUGGUAAUAAAACACUUAUUUAGAAGUAGAUCAAUAUGGUGAGUUUAAAUGUCUACUCCAGCACUUAUUAGCUAUGUAGUUUCUAGGAACUUCUGUAAUGUUUCCGUGCCUCACUACUCUGUAAAAUGGAUAAAGGCACAGAUACCGACAGAACUUCAAGGAUUUAAGAAGCUGCACAUGUAAAAUGCCUAGCAGACCUCCAACUGUGAUAGUGCCUGUAAGUAGUCACUGUGACCAAAUCAAGCUUAUUGCUAAGAAUGAAGUGAUAUACAUGAAAUUGCUUUGUAGCAGUUUAAGGAAAUAUACCUGUGUUAUGAUUGGUUAUUACAAUGCAGAAAUUAAAAAAAUAAAAAACAAAAUAAAAUUCCCAAAUUUUCAUUCUUAAAACUCAGAAAAUAAUUCUCUCCCAGGAUUUUACAGGGUGAGGUAUUUCCUCAUGGGUCACAAGCAACUCUAAGCCAGUCUCCUUGAGAGGCAUCAUGGCAGGACUAGAGGGUACUAAAACAUUUAGCAGAAGGAUCAAUACCCCCAGCCCUUCUUAAUAGAAGUAUUCUUGGAGAAGUCUCAUGUAGCCUCUAGGUCUUAGAAUUAUAAUACCAUUAAUUAAUAGUGUUAUUAAUUUAUAUAAUUUAUAAAACUAAUCCUAGACAAAUCUCUAACUACUUUUCCAGUUCUAAUUUUAAAAUAUUAUCAUUUUAUUUUUCUAUUUUAAUAUAAUUAUAAUUCAUAGAAUUUUACGAAUUAGUAUGUUUGCCAAAAUUAACCCAGAGAUGUAAACAAACAGUGGCCAAUGAAAAGACCUAUGUAUAAAGCUACAUGUUGACGUAAUUGAAAACCACUUGGUUAUAAGUGCAUGGAAUAAAAUGUUGUCAUCUGCUACAAUUCAUUUAUGCUACAAAUUGUACCAAAGGAGAUCCAGAUUAGCCUACACCGACAGCAAUGAAAUGAUGAACAUUCCUAGGAGUUAACCAUGCCACCUGCACAGAACACCAGUUACUUUCAGGUAUCAGCAUUGCUACUCUAUGUCUAGGACUGAGGAGUCACAAACCAGGCCAACUGCCAUUUCCCAUUUCCUUCUCAGGCUCUGUACUUUUAUCACAAACUGUGUAUAUGAACAUUCCGGGUCAUGCUUCAAACACAGCUUUAAGCCCCACUGUCCAAAGUUGCUUUAAAAAUUAAAUUUGGUUUGGAAAAGAUUGCCACAAUGUAAAAUCUCUAAAUUGGGUAUGUUACUGAUUUCUGCUCCCUCCACAAAUGUUUUUAACACGAUCAGGUCUAGAGAGAAAGAUAAUGGAUUUAGAUGAGAUUAUGCUACAAAACACAACUCAUUUAACUAAAAAAUACUUUCAGACAGAAACAAAUCUGACUAGCAUCCAUGAGUACGCAGGUUCAAUCCCUGGCCUUGCUCAAUGGGUUAAGGAUCUGGCAUUGCAGUGAGCUGUGGUGUAGGUCACAGAUGCUGUUCAGAUCUGACAUUGCUGGGGCUGUGGUGUAGGCCGGCAGCUACAGCUCCAAUUUGACUCCUAUCCUGGGAAACUCCAUAUGCCAUGGGUGCAGCCCUAGAAAGCAAAAAACAAAAACCUAUACAUCAAUAAUACAAUGUACAAUAAUAAUGCAAAAGGGAUAUGGAUAAUGUACUUCAUGUUUUUAUCAACCUCUGUAAUUUUACAAAACCAUCAAAAAUAUACACAUUUCCCACACAGGAAUUUAUUCUGUGGUCUCCCUUUACUUAUAGAAGUACAGGUCUGAGGGGCUGGUGCUGGUUAAAUUUCUUGAGUCUUAGCAGGACUGAAAAUAUCUUUCUGUUGUCAUUACAUUUAAGGACAACAUGCCAAGUUGUAAAAUCGUGGGUUGCAUUUGAUUUUUCUAAUGGUUUUAUAGAUGUUUCUUUAUUGCCUUCUGGCUUUGACGGCUGCUAAGGAGAAAUUUGAAUCAAGCCUAACUUUUCUUUGAAAAUAAAUGAAUUUGUAUUUGGCAGCAUUAAGCUCCUUAUUUUUGCUUUAAAGUCUGAAAAACUUAUCACCAAAUAUCUCUAUGUUAGUUUCUACUUAGCAAUUUUCCUAUAUAAGGUAAGCCUUCUUACUUUCAAGAUCUUUUAUAGUUCUGAAAGAUUUUCAUCUGCUAAUAAUUAUUGAUUUCAAUAAAUUCAUCUCUUUGUGUGUCAGAUUUUGCAGCAUUUCUAUGUCCUGAGUUCUGAAUUCAUGUACUCUUAUGUGAAUGUGAGCUUCUAAGUCAUCUCUUCUGCAUCCCAAAUGUUUUAUAAAUUUAUCUUCUGUUUCACUAACUUGAUUUUUAGCAAAGUUGAUUCUGAUUUUCUUCCAUAUAUGGAAGAGUUUAUUUAUAUUUUGUCCACAUUUUUUUACAGCUUUAACACUAUCAUUUUUCAUCUAAUGUAGGAUUAAAAGAAAUCUCAUCCUAAAGUUUAAUUCUAUAUAAAAUAUAUUUCAAAGAAGAUUUUAUUCUGAACCUAAGCAUCUUCACUGCCUAGUUUAUUCCAAUAAUUUGUCUUAAAAGAAAACUCAUCUUUAAAUUUGAUGAUAUUUAGUAUCUUAAGUCUCUGCUUUUCAAAAUAUGGUGCAUGUACUAGGCUUUUCAACAUCACCUGGGAGUUUGUAAGAAACGCAAAAUCUUAGACACCCCAUUCCAACCCAUAACUACUGAAAAAAAAUCUUUAUUUCAACAAGAUAUCCAGGUAAUGCAUGCACACAUUAAUAUUUGAGAAAAACCUGGUCUAGGGGAGUCAUGUGCUAGGUGGUUGGGGGGGUUAUCGAGGUCAGCUGUGAUAUCAGAGUAUAUGUCAACAGGGUGAGAGCUUAAGUGUCUGUCCCUAAGGUGAGGAAUGAGGAAAACAUGCUUAUCAAAUGCUAACGUGACCAACGAGUUACGCUAUUGGCAUAAAUUACUUUCAGCCCAUUUGUUCAUUCAGUGACUAUUUAAUAGGCACUGAUAUAGGCCUUGGUGACUGGCAAUAAUCAGGUGAAAUUUGUUCCCUCUUGGGUUUAUCAUCUAGUGAAAAUACAAAGGCACUCUAAAAAUAAUCAUGCAAAGAUGGCAAUAAAUCAUAAGGAACAAGAGAUUGCCAGGUAUUUGUAUAUGUCUAAGCUCAGGAGAAAGAUAAUUGUUAUUUUAUAAAGGGGAUUCAAAGAAGCCAUCAUUUAAAAAGUAAAUUGGAGCAGAGAUUUGAAGGAAGUGAAGGAAGGAGACUUGCAAAUGUUUAAAGGAAAAGCAUUGCAGGAAGAGGACACUCAAAGACAUCACUCCGUAGUAGGGCAGUAAAAUAUUUUAUUUUAAAAAAUUAUUUUAAAAAACCCCUCAGGGCUAGAAUGUUAAUUAUGCCCACCAAUAUCAGAUACCAGUCCUGUUGUUUGUGGCUCCAAAAUACCUUUUGUCUCCCUCUCCAUCCCAUAUUACCAUUGUCCUAAUCCAGACCCUCAGUGAAUCUUGCUGGGACUAAAGUGGUAACUUCAUUUCCCAUGUCUUUGUCUUUAGUCACAUAUUAACCAAGUUCAACCUCAAGCAAAAACGUACUCAUGCAACAUUUCUGCCUAAAAUCCUUCAAAAACAUCCAUGUGGAGAAAAAUCAGUAUUGGACAUCCACCACACGCUCAGUCACAAAAGCCAAUUCU